UAAUGGGACCAUCUAAGAUCAAGCUGCUGA
rnacentral:piRNA from 1 species